CCCUCAUUAGUCAGUGUAGUCGUGUCUCUCUCUCUCUCUCUCUCUCUCACUCUCACUCUCAGUGAGCACUCUCACUCUCUCCACCUUCUCAUCUUCUUCCUCCAUUUUGAAUUGCUACUGGUUUCCAAAAUUCUGAUUUCAUGCUGGGCCCUAUUUGAAAACAUAUAUUUUUUUUUCUAAUAAUCUUCUGCAGAAAAGAAGAAAAAUCUCCUUUUGAUUUUCUGUUUCUUUUUCUGCGUUAGUUUUUUACCCAGAGAGAGAGAGAGAGAGACUGUGUGUGUGGAAGAUAUUUUCUGGAGUGUUAUUUUCCACCGUGAAGACUUGGAGGCUAAGGCCUUUCGCCUACUUCAGAAAUAUUUCAGUAUAACUAUCAACAUCUGAGGCCAUAUGCAGGAGGAUGACAGCUUGACAUGUGGAGCAAGAUGUAUUACACAGGCGAUGACUAGAUGUAUACUAAGCCUCUCAUGGAUUUUUAUGGUUUUAAACUUUUGCUUUGAAAAACUUGAAGAACUUUUAAAUGGCCGAGGCAGAUGAGGAUUUGAAAUCGAGGAGAACGGUUUUUGUAACAGUUGGGACAACUCAUUUUGAUUCUUUGAUUAGAGCAGUGGACACUCAGGAAGUUAAGGAAGAAAUUUUCAAAAAAGGCUGUACUCACCUUUUAAUUCAAAUUGGUCGUGGUUCCUACAAUCCUGCAAAGGUAAUUGUAAAUAUUUUGCUCCCUUUACUCUGAUUGCUCCACUAAACAACCUUGUUUAGUGGAGCACGAUUGGUGGAAUGGUGAUGAACUAUCACCUGAAAUUUGCUGUUUUGUUCAGAUUUUUUAUUGGAAGACUUCAUUGUUACAAAAUGAUGAUUGAAUACAUAUGCCAAUGCGAUUGUUGCAAGAACAAAAUGAUGAUGAUAAAGUUUAUAAAGAUAAUGGUCAUCCAGUUAUCCUGUUCAA